GUAAGUAGUGCAUGCCUUUAGCUAUGUCAGUUGCCCAGGUCAUGAUAUGAUCCAUAUCCAUCUCUUCACUUUUGUUACUGUUAAUGUAAUCAAACAGUGAGCCAGCAGAAGCAUACUCUGUAACUAUGCCAUAAUUUGGAGGUUCAAUGACAGCUCCAUAGAACUGAAUGAUGUUUUUGUGACUGAGCACACUGAGUAUUUCUGCCUCCUUUUCUAUUUUGAGCAGCUUCUUCACAGCCACCUCCUUGUCCUGAGAAAUCCAUCGGGCUCGAUAGACG
rnacentral:lncRNA from 1 species